rnacentral:rRNA from 1 species
UCCAGACUCCUACGGGAGGCAGCAGUGAGGAAUAUUGGUCAAUGGGCGGGAGCCUGAACCAGCCAAGUCGCGUGAGGGAUGACGGCCCUAUGGGUUGUAAACCUCUUUUGCCGGGGAGCAAAGUGCCGCACGUGUGCGGUUUGGAGAGUACCCGGAGAAAAAGCAUCGGCUAACUCCGUGCCAGCAGCCGCGGUAAUACGGAGGAUGCGAGCGUUAUCCGGAUUUAUUGGGUUUAAAGGGUGCGUAGGCGGGGUUGUUAAGCCCGGGGUAAAUGGCGGGGCCCCACCCCCGGCCCGCCGUUGAAACUGGCAGUCUCGAGUUGGAGAGAAGUAUGCGGAAUGCGCGGUGUAGCGGUGAAAUGCAUAGAUAUCGCGCAGAACUCCGAUUGCGAAGGCAGCAUGCCGGCUCCACACUGACGCUGAGGCACGAAAGCGUGGGUAUCGAACAGGAUUAGAUACCCGCGUAUU